AUCUUUUCAACCAAAACUCUUGUAUGGGAAGAUUACUUGGCAAAACUUUAGUAAUAGUGUUGUUACAAAUAUAUUACUAAGUAAUAUAUAAAUAUACAAUAACAAUACAAUGUGUAAGUACAAGCAGGUUUUUUCAGGCUUUUAUUGUAAAAGGAGAUUGUAAAUAGAAGAAUAGAAAUAGAAGAUUGUAAAUAGGGCCAGGGUUCAUGUUGACUUUAUAAAUAUUUUAUUUAUAGUUCAGGCAAUAACUCUUUCGAUUUUACAUAUUAUGUAGUAAAGUCUCUACUCAGUCUCUCUAUCCACCAAAGGGUCAUUAAAACGGCUGAAGACCUCUGGUGUACUCUCAUUAACAUGUGUGCAUGUUUUGAGCAGGAGGGGGCAGACUUUACAAGAUAAUGGAGGAUCCUAUUGCUGUGAUUGGCUGUUUUUUUCUGUGUAGGAAAAUGUGAGGGGGGUGGGCUUGCCUUUCUGGAAAAGGAGGAGGAACAGGAGACUGUGAUGGUGUGUGUGUGUGUGAGAGAGAGAGUAUGCAGCCAUACACAUGCUGGUUGGCAUGGACACACGACAGGCAAAUGGAAAAGAAAAAUUCUAAAGAUUCUGCUUCCUUCCAGUUCAUAAUCAGGUCUUCUCUGUGGCUUUGCUGCUGCUGAUAGUAUCAUGGUAACAGCUCAAAACGCUGUCAGAUCUGUCCUCCUGCUAGUUUGCUGUGCUGUUCUCUGCUCCUCUAUAGGUGAGUGUCUCUGACCUUGGCUCAGUGCCAACCUAACAUCUGUGCCUGAUUGAAAUCUCAUGAAACCUGUGAACAUACCCAGGUCAUAAUUCAACUCAAAAUUAGAGGAAAGAAAUUAAAAUUUAUAUGUAAUAUAUAAAUAAUUUCUAUGAAUAUUUUUAGGACAAUUAAGAAAAAAGAAAUUCCUAGAAUAAAAAAGUAGUGCUGAAUUUGGAAUGUUGUUUUGUCCAUAUGGAAGUCAAUUUUCACUAAAACCGUUUGGUUACCAACUUUCUUCAAAAUAUACAUGUCCAGUUUUCUC
rnacentral:lncRNA from 1 species